AUGAAGCUUUUUGUGUCAGCAGUCAUGCAUCACCCAUUUCAAGCUACAAAUGACAUGUCCCUCCAAGUGUUGGCAUCUGGAGAUAGAGUUGGUUUAAUCCUGGUGUACUACCAUCUUUCUAUGACAGUGACUGCAAGAAAUUGUAGUCUGUUCAUAGUCUUACCAGCUUCUGUCUGAAAUAAAGGUGAGAGAUUGUUUACA
rnacentral:lncRNA from 1 species